AGCACAUUUCUUGUGUGACCGCGUACUUUUUGUAGAACGGGCCAACGAGUUACGUUAAGUAGCAAGGUUAAGCACGUAAGGUGCGGAGCCGUAGCGAAAGCGAGUUUUAACUGAGCGUUCAGUUACUGGACGUAGACCCGAAACCGGGCGACCUACCCAUGAGCAGGAUGAAGCGAAAGUAAAAUUUCGUGGAGGUCCGAACC
rnacentral:rRNA from 1 species